rnacentral:rRNA from 1 species
UACGUAGGAGGCGAGCGUUGUCCGGAGUUACUGGGCGUAAAGCGCACGUAGGCGGAUAUUUAAGUCAGGGGUGAAAUCCCAGAGCUCAACUCUGGAACUGCCUUUGAUACUGGGUAUCUCGAGUAUGGAAGAGGUGAGUGGAAUUCCGAGUGUAGAGGUGAAAUUCGUAGAUAUUCGGAGGAACACCAGUGGCGAAGGCGGCUCACUGGUCCAUUACUGACGCUGAGGUGCGAAAGCGUGGGGAGCAAACAGG